rnacentral:rRNA from 1 species
CGGCUUAAGUUUGAUCAUGGCUCAGAUUGGACGCUGGCGGCAGGCUUAACACAUGCAAGUCGAACGGUAGAAGAGCUUGCUCUUGACGAGUGGCGGACGGGUGGGUAAUGUAUGGGGAUCUGCCAAAUGGAAGGGGACAACAGUUGGAAACGACUGCUAAUACCGUAUAAUGUCGCGAGACCAAAGUGUUUAGACAUGCCAUUUGAUGAACCCAUAUGGGAUUAGCUAGUAGGUAGGGUAAAGGCCUACCUAGGCGACGAUCUCUAGCUGGUCUGAGAGGAUGACCAGCCACACUGGAACUGAGACACGGUCCAGACUCCUACGGGAGGCAGCAGUGGGGAAUAUUGCACAAUGGGGGAAACCCUGAUGCAGCCAUGCCGCGUGUAUGAAGAAGGCCUUGGGGUUGUAAAGUACUUUCGGUAAUGAGGAAGGUAACUAUUAACAUAGUUAAUUGACGUUAAUUACAGAAGAAGCACCGGCUAACUCCGUGCCAGCAGCCGCGGUAAUACGGAGGGUGCGAGCGUUAAUCGGAAUGACGGGCGUAAAGGGCAUGUAGGCGGAUGAUUAAGUUAGGUGUGAAAGCCCCGGGCUCAACCUGGGAAUUGCACUUAAAACUGGUUAUCUAAGUAUUG